rnacentral:rRNA from 1 species
GAUGAACGCUAGCGACAGGCCUAACACAUGCAAGUCGAGGGGCAGCACAAGGAGCAAUCUGAGGUGGCGACCGGCGCACGGGUGAGUAACACGUAUGCAACCUACCUGUAAGCGGGGAAUAACCCGUUGAAAGACGGACUAAUACCGCAUAAUACUGGAGAUCUGCAUGGAUAUUCAGUUAAACAUUUAUGGCUUACAGAUGGGCAUGCGCAUGAUUAGAUAGUUGGAGAGGUAACGGCUCCCCAAGUCAACGAUCAUUAGGGGUUCUGAGAGGAAGGUCCCCCACACUGGUACUGAGACACGGACCAGACUCCUACGGGAGGCAGCAGUGAGGAAUAUUGGUCAAUGGGCGAAAGCCUGAUGCAGCAACGCCGCGUGAGUGAUGAAGGC